rfam:Xenorhabdus beddingii strain DSM 4764 Xbed_1, whole genome shotgun sequence.
AUAAAGGUUAGCUCACAUGAUCCACGCUAUUCGCCUACUAAGCCUACUCCUAAUCGCCUUUAAUGUGCGCGGUACGCUGGUAGGUGAAAGAAGAAAAAGUUGAGCUGACUUCAUCUCCACCAGAUAAAAAAAACCCGCGCAUAGCGCGGGUUUUUUU